rnacentral:rRNA from 1 species
AUUGAACGCUGGCGACAUGCCUUACACAUGCAAGUCGAACGGCAGCACGGGUGCUUGCCCCUGGUGGCGAGUGGCGAACGGGUGAGUAAUAAAUCGGAACAUGUCCGGUAGUUGGGGAUAGCCCGGCGAAAGCCGGAUUAAUACCGCAUACGAUCCACGGCUGAAAGCGGGGGACCUUCCGGACUCGCGCUUUCGGGUUGGCCGAUGGAUGAUUAGCUAGUUGGUGGGGUAAAGGCCUACCAAGGCGACGAUCAGUAGCUGGUCUGAGAGGACGACCAGUCACACUGGGACUGAGACACGGCCCAGACUCCUACGGGAGGCAGCAGUGGGGAAUUUUGGACAAUGGGCGAAAGCCUGAUCCAGCAAUGCCGCGUGUGUGAAGAAGGCCUUCGGGUUGUAAAGCACUUUUGUCCGGAAAGAAAUCCUUGGCCCUAAUACGGUCGGGGGAUGACGGUACCGGAAGAAUAAGCACCGGCUAACUACGUG